rnacentral:rRNA from 1 species
AAUACGUUCCCGGGCCUUGUACACACCGCCCGUCAAGCCAUGGAAGCUGGGGGUGCCUGAAGUCGGUGACCGUAAGGAGCUGCCUAGGGUAAAACUAGUAACUGGGGCU